UACGUAGGGGGCUAGCGUUGUCCGGAAUCACUGGGCUUAAAGCGUGUGUAGGCGGAUCGUUAAGUGCCUUGUGAAAUCCCACGGCUCAACCGUGGAACUGCUUGGCAUACUGGCGGUCUUGAGCAACCUAGGGGCGAGCGGAACAAAUGGUGGAGCGGUGAAAUGCGUAGAUAUCAUUUGGAACGCCAAUGGUGAAAACAGCUCGCUGGGGGUUUGCUGACGCUGAGACACGAAAGCCAGGGGAGCAAACGGG
rnacentral:rRNA from 1 species